AGACAAGGAGAAAGAGGACUUCAGAAAAGUCUCCUGUGCAUGAAACGCCAUCCUCCGACGUCGUCUUGAAAUCUAAGUAUGAAUUGACUUGAUCUUUCAUUGAAAAUUCUAGUGAAAGGGUUCUUUCCUGGAAUCCGCAUGUGGGGCUUGGGGGCUCCCCGGAAUCUGAGCUCCUCUGUGGCUUGGGUCACUGUGGGAGCUCACUGCUAGCAGGAGACGCCCCGCCUGGAAGGGCAGGGAUCUGCGCCUGGGCUUUACCCAGAGGCCUGCUGGGCAGGGCUGGCGGCCUCCUGGGGCCUCAGCUUACCCAGCUAUAAAACUAAAGGGCUCUGCCCACUGCCUCCUUGACUCUAGCUUCUCUUUGAAAGCCCCUCAGGGGCAGGCCCCUGUAUACACUUCUGUGCAAGCAUGGGCACUCACUGCAGAUGCUUCUGGCCAGUCGGCUUCCUCCUGUGUCCCCCCCCCCCCCCCGCACCCGCAAACACUGGAAAGCUAAGCCCGCACCUCGCAGAUCCUCUGCGCGCAGGCCGUCCCGUUCUGCUUUCAGACAGAUGAGGUUCCCUGCAGCCGAGCCCUGCCUGACUCCUAAGAGAACCCUGGUCCGAAGGCAGCUGUGAGGAGCCUGGCCCGCAUUCAGGGGCGACUCCGUGUUGCGAUCCCGGCCACCAUGUCACAGGGACUGAUGUGGCUGGCUGGGUCCUUGACCUUCUGCUGUAUGCCUCACUUCUCUUCCUCUCUGGAACCCGGUUGCUCACGUCCAACCCGGAAGGGGCAGUGGCUGAGAUGCAAGGGGAGGAAAACCUGAGGGGGGACACUGUACCUCUGGGCUCUGUGCAUGGUCUUCAACUCAACUCACCCACAACAUGAAGUUCGUGCGGAAUGGAAGGUUCAAGAAGUCUCUUUUCCAGGAGACUUUGCAGUCUCUCUUAAUCACCAAAAGUUUGCCUUAGGGUUCAUCGAGAAGAUCCAACCAACGUUUUCAGAUGGGUGUAGGCGUGAGGGUCGGAUCUCUCCCACAUGGCUUUGAAGACCCCAGCAACAGUCAGCUUCCACGGUGUGUGGGGCUCUGGGCUUGGGUCGGAGGGCUGGCCCCAGGCUCCUGUGGAGGAUACCCCGCUCCCCCACCUUUCCCCCAGGGACCCCUUUGUGGCUCCCAACAUGCUGUCCCGCAGAAAGCUAGUGCUGGCCGCAUCUGUUCCUUGGGCUGGUCAAUCCCCAUGUUAAGAAUGGGUGGCUCAGUCGGUUAAGCGUCCGACUUCGGCUCGGGUCACGAUCUCACGGUUCGUGAGUUCGAGCCCCGCGUCGGGCUCUGUGC